AUGAGUCACUUACAGUUUAUUUUUGCCUGAAAGUAUUUCACAUCUCUUUGUACACAGCUACGUGACAGUAGUAUUAACCAUCAGGAAAAGCAACAGUGCGAGGGGAAAGGUGGCAUGUCUUGUUUCUUCUUUUUUUUUUUUCCUUUUUUAUUUUUUUUAUUUUUAUUUAUUUUUUUAUUUUUAUUUUUUUUGCUUCUGCUUCUUCCCGCACCAGAGUGCUGUGAAGUAUGGGACCGGAGGGGGGAAAGAAAAGAAAACCAAACAACUAAAAACAACAACAAAAAACAAAACACAAAACAGAACACACUCACACACACACGAAAUAAAACCUGGCACGGAAAAUGAAUUAAGACUGGAACCCAGUUUCUUUUUUUUUUCCUUUUUUAAAAAAAUGAGGGCAUAGUGGGGGGGUAAUAAAGUCUACCUAGCAAAGUAUAAAACGACAAAAGCAUGGUUUCCAUUGAAUAAGAUUAAAUAUAUAUAAAACAAGUACACUGACUGUGGGGUAGGUUUGGAGGUGCCGGAGGAGGGAAGUAUUUGUGCUAAACCAACAGAAAAAAGGGCUGGGGGGAGAGGGGGACCCCAAAUAAACCAUCAACGGGCUGUUCUGUACAGUGAGGGCUUAUUAAGAAAAAGCCGACUGUUUAUAAAAGAAACGGAGGUUGGUUUGUCUUCGGAGCAGGUGGGGACAGAAGGAGUGUCUUCGUUGCAGUGGUCACAUGUGGGGGGUGGCGGGGGUGGGGUGGGGAGGGCAGUCGGACUGGCGGAGGCGACACAUCUCUCUUUUCCCAAGAGACCAUGCAGAGAGGCGGGCAUGCAUGGGGCCACGUGAAGCACACGAUGGCAGGGGGAGCCCAGGGGUGACAGAGUCUCCGUUGGGGACAGGGGACAGCAAAGGCUGACAGGGACAGGAGCUCCCUGGGGGUGGGGAACAGCUCUUUUACCGGGGUGGACUGGAGAGGGCGGGUUAGCAGCCUCCCAUUCAAGUCUAAAAGGUGCCGAGAGAAAGAGCUUGGGCCUUAGUGGAGCAAGGGGAUCUUAAUCCCUCCUCCUCCAGCCUGAGCCCCACCUCGUGAGGGAGUUGGAGACAUUUGGAAAUCAGAAACGCACAGUGGUGGGUGGGGGAGUGGGCAGACAGACAGACAGACGAGAGAGCAUUAGCAUAGAGAAUCCAUUACGAAAAAGCAAUUAAUUUUUCCAAGGAGGUUCUUUUUUUUUUUCUUCUUUUUGUUGUCUGUUUGUUUCCUUUAAAAAAAUAACAAUAAUACUACCACUAACCCGACAGCUGACUGGUUUAUACAGUACUACACGCCAGGUGGGGGCGGGAGGGCGGUGGGGUCGGGCGGGGGGGACGGUCAAAGACUUCAUAAAUAAGAGGCGGGUCCCAGACCCGCAAUUUGUCAACAUGUCUUAAAUAGGUGCAUUAUUUAAAUCUUAUGUACAACAAGAAUCACUUUGCAUAGCAAUGGUGAGGACACAGGACGGGUGCAGUGAUGUGACUGGGUCUUCUUGUCCCAAGGGCGGGGGGCGAGUUCGCAGCUCAGCUCGGAGCCUCUAGGAAGAAAGCAUCCUUCGUCCGGCCCGCAAUGGUGGCAUCGGAGUUGACUUUUCCCACACGACGGCAUCAAACACAAAGGCAAAGAAAAUCCACAAAGGGUCCCCCACCCCCCAGCCCACCCCCAAACCCCUCCCCGACCCGCUGAUGCUCCUCUUGUUGCUACAAAGUCCACUUUAGAUCAGGUCAAAGGUUCCAAUUACGAAGCUAAAAGAAUUCGGCGGGGGCUGGGCGUGCUUGUGGGCCCCCUCCCCACCCCCUCCCCCCUCCGCCCCCAGAAAGACUCCCCAUCUAUCUCACAGCCAGGGCACCAGGGUGGGACCCCAGGACCGGCUGCUCUGCGGCUGUUAGUCAAGAGUUAUUUUGUCGCGGUUGCAAACGUCUUCCUGCCUUGAGCUGGGAGCUUCACCAGGCUUCGGUGUAGCGGACGUCCACUUCCUUCAAAUUGGGAAGCUUGGCCUGGGGGUGGUGUCAGCUGAGAGCUUGGUGCUGUUCAUGUUUAAACUGCAGAGACUCUUCAUGGCUCUCAGGGCCAGCAGGCCAGCGUCUGUGACCGGGGUCUCGCACAGGUUCAGCACCUGGAGCAUGGUGAGGUGUUCCGACAGGAGCCGAAGGCCAGCGUCUCCAAACUGUAGAGCACAGAAACUCUCAGCCCUCUCCCGGCCACUCCUGGGGAAGUGACUCUGAGGCUGGGGCAGAGGUGGAGGAAAGGGAUGGGGACAGAGCCUGGCUCUGAGGCCCAUGGCCCACCAAGCCCUGGGGUCUGGGCUGCGUUCACGUCCCCUAAACAAUCCCACGCCUCUCUGAACCGGGUUAGAAUCCAGCUUCUGCUGUUGGGAGUGGAGCCAGGCCAGGGCCCCCUUGGAGUCAGUUUUGCCUCCAUGAAGGAGGGCUUUGAACUUGUCUCUCCCUAGCUUCGAGAUGCUGCCUAGGUGGCUUUCUCCUGCUGGGUGGACAGUGGAAGGACAGGGCUGGGCCGGGGGCAGGCUGCAGGGACUGUCCCCAGUUUCUCCUCUGGAAAAUUAGGGUGAGGGUAGAACCUGCACUUCACAGGUGUGCAGUGAAGGCCCCUUCAUCUGCCCUGUGCAGAGUACUGAGCAGUGCAGUUCACACUGAGCUGGGACUCAGCAGCCACUGGUGUUACUAUAACAAAAAGACCCAGAAGCCUCCUGCGCAGCCCCCCGCAGGCCAGCGAAGCCUGGCUCACGUCUCAGCUCUACCUCUCAGAACCUCAGGACUCGGAACUGGGCACAUUAUUUCCAAAUGGGAAAUGGGCUGCAGGGCUUCAUGAGGUCCUCAACCUCCUCUAGCCUCAGGGAGUGGGUGCUGAGCUUGAGGGAAGGGUCGUGUGGUAAGCAAUGCCUGGGGUGUAGGCAGGGAAGCGGGUGAGGGGCAGGGAGGAGGGUGAGGGGGCAGGGAGGAGGGUGACG
rnacentral:lncRNA from 1 species